UGAAGACCAUCCAGAUGCCACAAAUGGUCCAGAAUGCUGAUUCGAGGUGCCCCACAAUACACCAGUAGGAUUUCCUUCAACAUCCGGAAGAAAUUUGUUAAUACUAACCUGGCUGUGUUCUGGCC